GUCCACGCUGUAAACGAUGAGUGCUAGGUGUCACGGGCUUUGACCCUCGUGGUGCCGAAGCUAACGCGUUAAGCACUCCGCCUGGGGAGUACGGCCGCAAGGCUAAAACUCAAAGGAAUUGACGGGGCCCGCACAAGCGGUGGAGCAUGUGGUUCAAUUCGACGCAACGCGCAAAACCUUACCUGGGCUAGAAAUGACAGGAACCCGGUCGAAAGAUCGGGGUGCUCUUCGGAGAAUCUGUUGUUAGGUGCUGCAUGGCUGUCGU
rnacentral:rRNA from 1 species